UACAGAGGGGGCAAGCGUUGUUCGGAAUUACUGGGCGUAAAGGGCGCGUAGGCGGCCUGCUAAGUCGAACGUGAAAUCCCUGGGCUCAACCCAGGAACUGCGUCCGAUACUGGUUGGCUUGAAUCCGGGAGAGGGAUGUGGAAUUCCAGGUGUAGCGGUGAAAUGCGUAGAUAUCAGGAGGAACACCAGUGGCGAAGGCGGCUUUCUGGACGGUAACCGACGCUGAGACGCGAAAGCGUGGGGAGCAAACAGG
rnacentral:rRNA from 1 species